UGAAAUUUUAAAUCAUUUUUCACAAGAAAUGCAACAUUUUCCUUGUGCUGCCCUGCCAAGUGAGGUGGCUGCUUCUGCCUGGGGCUGUCAGUGUCCCAUGGACAUAAGGCACUGAAAUUAAGGGGCUCCUUUCUCCUCCCUCCUGGCAUUUUUCACAGCAGGUUUCUCAACCACAGCAGUGGUGACACUUGGAGCUCGAUUAUUCUUUGUGGCGGGGGCAGCCUUGCCGGAUGUUUAGCAGCACUCCUGGCAUCUACCCACUAGACGUCAUUAGCACCCACCCUCCCAGAUGUGACAAUCAGAAAUGUGUCCAGACAUAUCCAGAUGUCCCUUACGAGGAAGGCAGAAUCGCCCUGGCUUUACAGACUCCAGCUGCAACCCCUGCUGCAAGGGAUGGAGGAGGGCUAGAGUCUCAGAUCUACGAUCUGAGCUGGGAGGAGAGAUCAGGUCCCCUUACACUCAGGGGCAACGGCAACCAGAGAGGAAGCAGCAGGCUGGAGAACAGGAGCUCCCACAUCCAUAGCCGGGCGCUGACAGAGAGGAGGAGCCGAGGGUAGGCUCUGGCCCUCCUGGGCCUGGCCACAGGAAAGGGAGAAAUGGCCAGUGAGCCACACUCACAAACACUGCGACUCUGCCCACGGAGUAGAAGACCGAGAAACCAGAAGGCACUUUGAAUUUCCUCCCACGGGGGCAACACCCACAUCAAACAGGGAAGCUCAGCUUUUAUUGAGCUUAUACACUGGGGCUGCUAGGGAAUCCUUAAGACUUCAUUUGAAAAGGGUUUUCUCAGCUCCAACAACAGCAGCUAAAAAUGAAGCAAAACCAAAGACCCAAAUGCUUAAGCCGACAUAAGACAGCAGUGCACUGCAUCCUUCCAGUGAGCCUCCAGGGCUACGGUGUUUCCCGGCCUAGCUCUUGAUAUGACUCAAGCAGUAGAAGCUCAUGGGUCUGUUCGCUGAGGGGUCAGGGGACUGCAGUGUGGAUGUCUCGUGUUGCUAAGGGCCUUUCAGAUGCUUUGAAGAGCACACCAGAAACAAAGCAAAGCAAAACCAAACCAUGUAAUCGUGUUU
rnacentral:lncRNA from 1 species